CUGAGCGGAUCUUUCCGGUUAUGACCGUUGUUUGACAGAUCAGGACGGAGCGUCGCUUUCAGUACCUGUCAUUGAUGGCCCAGCUGUGCGUUGAGGUAAAAUGGGACAGAACACAUCGGGCCCAGAGUCCGCAGAAGCUCCUCAGCUGGACCGAUUUGGAAACAUCAAGAGUUUAGUGGAGGAUCAGCUGCAGACCAGCAUGGU